AGCAAGAAGAAGUACAAGGGAGUGAGGAUGAGAAGUUGGGGCUCAUGGGUUUCAGAGAUAAGAGCACCAAAUCAGAAAACAAGAAUAUGGUUAGGUUCUUAUUCUACUGCUGAAGCUGCUGCUAGAGCCUAUGAUGCGGCACUUUUAUGCCUCAAAGGCUCAUCAGCUAAUCUCAACUUCCCUAUCACUUCUUCUCAUUACAUUCCUGACACUGUUAUGUCCCCUAAGUCCAUUCAAAGAGUGGCUGCAGCUGCUGCAAAUAGCUUUGUGGACAAUGCCACCACAAUCACCACCACCACCACUGCCGCCACGUCCUCUACGUCCACCACCCCAUCAGUAUCAUCAACACCUCUUCCCUCAUCCUUUUCCUCAUCACCCUCACCAUCAUCCUCCAUGUCUUCUUCACAGCCCGAUCAUCUUGAUGACGAUGUGUCAUUAAUGCAGCCUUUUGGGAGCUACAGCGAACCACUUCCUAUGCUAUACGAUUCAUGGUACAACUUUGAAGAUCUGCAAUCGCCCAAGUUUCUCGAUCAAAUGUUCAAUCCACCAACGAUGACACUGGAUGAUUUUUUCGAAGGUGAUAUUCAUCUAUGGAGUUUUGCAGAAUAGUUGUUCGAAAUAUCAUCAAAUCCAAAGAUUUUUAAGGCCAACCGAUUUCAUUCUUUUGUCCAUUAA
rnacentral:misc_RNA from 1 species